AAAAACAUUUUUAAUAGAACUUAUUAUUAAUAAUAUCUGCUCAAUGAACCUUAAAUAGCCGCAGAUUAUUGUGCUAAGGUAGCAUAAUCAUUUGUCUUUUAAUUAAAGUCUUGAAUGAAAGAUUCUACAUUUAAUUUAUUUUAUAAAUAUUAAAUAAUAAAUUUAUCAUAAAUAUAAAAAGAUAUUUAUACAUAAAAAAGACGAUAAGACCCUAUUGAACUUCAYUUAAGUUUUACUGGGGCAGUAAAUUAAAAAUUAUUUUAAUUUUUAAUCUAAAAACUUCUAGUAAAAUUAAAUUAAAUAAGUUACCAUAGGGAUAACAGCGUAAUAUUUUACAAUAGAUCUUAUACAAUAAAUUGAUUACGACCUCGAUGUUGAAUUAAUAUUCUUAUAGUCGCAAUAGAUUAUCAAAGAAAGUCUGUUCGACUUUUAAUUAAUUACAUG
rnacentral:rRNA from 1 species